ACCAAAGGCCUGAGCAAUUCUCAGUCACGAGACCUCAUGGUUUUCCAAGUCCUCUCAUCACUAAUUUUUGUAAAGGCCUUAAACCCUUCAGGAAGAACUCAGCUAAGGUUCAGACACUUCCAACAGAAGGUCAUCAGUAACAAAAGAUGACAUCACACAAGGACGUUCAAAGCCUAGGUGCUAACACUCUGGAUUCCAAGCCAGAUGCGAUACUCUGUGGGACCUCCCACUACAGGUUCUUUGUCAAUGUGGUGAAAGCUACAGUUAUCUGGGAAGAGGAACCUCAAUUGAUAAAAUGUUUCCAUCAGAACACCUGUAGACAAGUCUGAGGACAUUUUCUUGAUUAACGAUUGAUGUGGGAAGGCCCAGCUCACUGGGAUCAGCGCCACUGGUCGGCAGGUGGUACUGAGUUGUGUACGACAGCAGACAAGCCAUUGGGAGCAAGCCAGUAAGCAGCAUUCUUCCAUGGCCUCUGCUUCAGUUCCUGCCCUGACUUUUCUUCAUGAUGAACUACAACUGUCUUGUGCAAGCAGCCACAGCUUCUCUGAGUUCAUGAGGACAACAGUCCCAUCAUGUCCAGAAGACACUUUCAGUUCAGUCCUCCCCAGUCUCUGGCUCUUAUUCUGGACCCUCUUUCAUGACAGCCCUUAAGCCUUGGAGGAGAAGCACAAUGGGAUAAGAAUCUUUUCCACAGAGACCGAGCCUGCGGCAGCUGCACAAGUCCCUGCAAGCAGGUUCCUGUUUAAGUGACACUGAGUCAGAGAUGCAUUAACUCAGAAGAGACUUGAAGGAGGAAACAAAAAGCUCUUGUCAUCUAAUA